UUACUUUUUUUUUUACUUAUCCCUUUAAUGCUGUGUGUAUCAUAUAUGAGACAUACAGUUUCUGAGACCUAUUUCAUCACUUUAUUGUAAAAACCAAACUCAAAACACUGU